rnacentral:lncRNA from 1 species
UGGAGAGUGAACUGAAGGAGACAUUCCAGUGUGGUGUGCAGCUUAUCAGGAAGAGGGAGAGAUCUCUAGCUCCAGCUCCAUCACCAUCCUGAGAACCAGAGGAGCCGUUGCCAGAAACUCCUUCACCACCAGCUCCAGAUCUCAGAUUUGUAAACAGCAGAUAGUUGGUGGGCAUCUGCUUUCUGCCACACUGUGGGGACAGAGGCAGAUGCAGGGCACUGUGCCACAUCACUUCUCACCCCUCCACCAUAUCAGAGACUCCUGGACUCUACCUGAUGUUUUCUGCCAACCUUACCAACUUUCAGAUUGGCCUAACAGUGUCCUUGCCUCCCAUUUCAAGAAACAGAAGACACAUUGUCCCCAUCAUGGCCCAUAAGCCCAGCAGGAUGUGUUCUUCCCCUUCCCCUCCCUCCACAUGCACC